GACGAACGCUGGCGGCGUGCUUAACACAUGCAAGUCGAACGGAAAGGCUCUGCUUGCAGGGUACUCGAGUGGCGAACGGGUGAGUAACUCGUGCGUGAUCUGCCCUGCACUUCGGGAUGAGCCUGUGUAACUGGGUCUAAUACCUGCCAGGAGCCAGUAUUAGUUGGAUGGUUUUAAAGUUUUUUCGGUGUAGGCAGAGCUCGCGGCCUAUCAUCUUGUUGGUUAGGUAAUGGCCUAGCAAGGCGGCGACGGGUAGCCGGCCUGAGAGGGUGGACGGGCACAGUGGGACUGAGGUAGCGGCCAUACGCCUACGGGAGGCAGCGGUGGAGGAUAGUGCACGAUGGGCGGCAGCAUGAUGCAGGGUCGCCGGGUGGGGGAUGACGGCCUUCGGGUUGGAAACUCCUUGCGAUAGGGACGAAGCUUUUGUGACGGUACCUAGAUAAGAAGCACCGGCUAACUACGUG
rnacentral:rRNA from 1 species